UACGUAGGGGGGCGAGCGUUGUCCGGAUUUAUUGGGCGUAAAGAGCGUGUAGGCGGCCAAGUAAGUCCGGUGUGAAAACUCGAGGCUUAACCUCGAGAUGUCAUCGGAAACUAUUUGGCUAGAGUCCGGAAGAGGAGAGUGGAAUUCCUGGUGUAGCGGUGAAAUGCGCAGAUAUCAGGAAGAACACCUAUGGCGAAAGCAGCUCUCUGGGACGGUACUGACGCUGAGACGCGAAAGCGUGGGGAGCGAACAGG
rnacentral:rRNA from 1 species